CAGACGGCUGUCUCUUAUGAGGACCAGAAGUUGAGCCAAGGCACAGAGAAUUUAUAACAGCAGAUGGUGAGAACCAGGGCAGAAGGAGGACUCCUGAAGCCUCCGAAGGAAGGAAAUCAUUACAGGGCCCUACAGAAGUAGGUCAUGUGCUACAGCUGCUCAUAGUUUAAGAGGAAGAAACACGGGACCUCAAACCUGGAACACGACUCUUUCAAAAUGCUUGUGAGCAACCCAAGAAAAACAUCCUCCCGAGGCUUAUCUAAUAACCAUGAUCUCUAAUCGUCUCAAUGUGUGCUCAUGUUUCCUUAGGAGUUUGCACCCACUUCUCAGAGCUAACGAGAUGCCGAAACAGAACACAGAAAAAAUGUAAUGAAGGAGAUUUAAUAGUUUGUGUUAAAGCUAAUACGGUCCAUUAGGAGCUGUCAUUUUUAUAAACAAUGAGGAUAUGUUACCCUCUUCUUUGGUGUAAAGUCAUUCCAGGCAGGACCUGUAAACAUUCAGUAAUGAUCUGUAGAACUUGAUGAACGACAAUUAAAGCGCCACUUGAAAAGUCUGCUUUCCUCACAUAUUUGGUUUCUUGCUAAAUAAACUUGUAAAGUUCA